rnacentral:rRNA from 1 species
AUACGGAGGAUCCGAGCGUUAUCCGGAAUUACUGGGCGUAAAGGGUGCGCAGGCGGCCAUUUAAGUCAGCGGUUAAAUCGUGGGGCUCAACCCCAUUCUGCCGUUGAUACUGGGUGGCUUGAUUGCGGUCGAGGUUGGCGGAAUUCGUUGUGUAGCGGUGAAAUGCAUAGAUAUGACGAAGAACACCGAUUGCGUAGGCAGCUGACCAGACCGCAAAUGACGCUCAUGCACGAAAGUGCGGGGAUCGAACAGGAUUAGAUACCCUGGUAGUCCGCACAGUAAACGAUGAAUACUUGUUUUCGGCGAUAUAAUGUCGGAGGCAAAGCGAAAGCGAUAAGUAUUCCACCUGGGGAGUACGCCGGCAACGGUGAAACUUAAAGGAAUUGACGGGG